rnacentral:rRNA from 1 species
ACUCAAAUGAAUAGACGGGGGCCCGCACAAGCAGCGGAGCAUGUGGUUUAAUUCGACGCAACGCGAAGAACCUUACCUGGGCUUGACAUACUUCGGACCGUCAUGGAAACAUGGCUUCCCUUCGGGGCCGUUGUACAGGUGGUGCAUGGCUGUCGUCAGCUCGUGUCGUGAGAUGUUGGGUUAAGUCCCGCAACGAGCGCAACCCCCGUCGCAUGUUGCCAGCAUUCAGUUGGGGACUCAUGCGAGACUGCCGGUGACAAACCGGAGGAAGGUGGGGAUGACGUCAAGUCAUCAUGCCCCUUAUGUCCAGGGCUACACACGUGCUACAUUGGCGCGUACAGAGGGCUGCGAUACCGCGAGGUGGAGCGAAUCCCUUAAAGCGCGUCUCGGUUCGGAUUGGAGGCUGAAACUCGCCUCCAUGAAGGCGGAGUUGCUAGUAAUCGCGGAUCAGCACUGCCGCGGUGAAUACGUUCCCGGGCCUUGUACACACCGCCCGU